rnacentral:rRNA from 1 species
GACGAACGCUGGCGGCGUGCCUAAUACAUGCAAGUCGAGCGGACGAAUCGAAAGCUUGCUUUUGAUUCGUUAGCGGCGGACGGGUGAGUAACACGUGGGCAACCUGCCCUGUAGACGGGGAUAACACCGAGAAAUCGGUUCUAAUACCGGAUAACACGAAAUGUCGCAUGACGUUUCGUUGAAAGACGGCGCAAGCUGUCGCUACAGGGAGGGCCCGCGGCGCAUUGGCUAGUUGGUGAGGGAAGGGCUCACCAAGGCGACGAGGCGGAGCCGGCCUGAGAGGGUGAUCGGCCACACUGGGACUGAGACACGGCCCAGACUCCUACGGGAGGCAGCAGUAGGGAAUCUUCCGCAAUGGACGAAAGUCUGACGGAGCAACGCCGCGUGAGCGAAGAAGGCCUUCGGGUCGUAAAGCUCUGUUGUUAGGGAAGAACAAGUAACGCAGUAACUGGCGUUACCGUGACGGUACUUAACGAGAAAGCCACGGCUAACUACGUG